rnacentral:tmRNA from 1 species
CGUCUUUUCGUGGCCCCAAUUGCACACUAUAUUGAUUUUUGCCGGCUUCGGUCGGCUAUGGCGAUACAGGAUAGUCGAAAUAAACCUAUCGGACCCGGGGGCGGUACCC